rnacentral:lncRNA from 1 species
AGAAAAACUAAUUUAAAGAAGAAGCCAGUGCAUAGAGUACUGUCUCAAUUCAAUCACAGAUGAAGAGGAUUGAAUGGAUAUUUCACUCUCAUCAAGUUAAAAACAAAGAAAUGGAAAACUUUCACAGGCAUCUUCUUAAUUUUACAUUAACUCUUAUUCCAUGUUGUUAUGAUUUUUUUUAUUUUUAAGAUAGAAAGUUAUGAGUAUGUGAGAAAAAUACUUUUUUCAACCUUGUUAAACAGAUGUAAUGUAAACAGCUGCUAAAAAAUCUGGUACAAUGAAUAAGUUGGCAAAUCUUUAUUCAGGUGUGAGCGUGUUUUGGGCUUAUAUGUGCUAUUAUAUAUUCAAUUUUCAAGUUUAUACCUUAAACCAAUUAUAAAUUUGUAAGAAUAAAUAGUUAAAACAUUGUGACAUCUAUGUAAUAUACAAAUAUUUAAAUAUUUUAAUAUCUCACCAAAAGUUUACAUUUUAAAAAAUUAUAAAAAUACUCUUUUGCUUUAUAUUCUAGCAGUGGACAAUUGUUGCAUAAUAAAAAAUUUAUCUUAAAUAGGAUUCCUGGAAUUGAAAUGUUGUCAGUGCUAUUUCCUUGGUAUAACACACAAAUUUACCUAAUUCUGAUUUUUCAGCAGAGAUCUUAAAAUCAUUUAAAAUAUUUUCACUUUUGAAUGUACAGUGCUUACUAGUAUUUGUCAAUUCCUAGGCUACAAUAAUCAAAAUUAUUUUGCUAAUAACAAAAAUUUAUUUUUAAGUUAAUUUUAAUAAUUUAGAUGGAAGCAAGGACUAAAUACAUAUUCAUUUAAUAAUAGAGAAAAUCCAUCGGAUAUAACCUUGCUUUUUAAAUUACAUUUUUUUCAUAAAAUACAUAGCAAAAAAACAGCCAAACACCACAUAUAGCACCCAUUAUAUCAUUAGUGUCAACACGGUAUGACAUCACUAUAGAUUACCUAAAAUGUUGCCCAGUUGGUUUCUGGUACGAAGUGGAAUCGGGCUUACAGGGAAUGCAGAGACCACAGAAAUGGAAGAGAAGAAAUUACGAAGAUCAGGACGUCAUAUUCCAUCUGAACAAUUUACAUAUCAGGGGUUGAUUUGGGACCAUAUGAGGAUAUUUAAAAAGAAAUGAACCUUGGAACAAAGUUUUUGAGAAGAGUCUGAAGAUUCUGAUGUGGCAGAGGUAGUAACAUUAACAAGUCUGUUGCUGUGUUAUUGGCAAAAAUAUUUUCCUUCCAGUAAGGCUCAUCCCAGAAGAGACAAAUAUAGGCAGAGUCGGUGACAGUGGUUAGUAGAAUAGUUUUUUUGCAAACUCUGUUUUUAUUUUUCUCACCCAGGUUUACAAAAUGAGACUUUAAAAUAAAAACAAACAAUCAAAGAAAUAAAAAAAUCA